AGAGUUUGAUCAUGGCUCAGGACGAACGCUGGCGGCGGGCUUAACACAUGCAAGUCGAACGAGAAACUUAGAGCUUGCUCUAGGUGGACAGUGGCGCACGGGUGCGUAACGCGUAGGCAACCUGCCUUCAAGAGGGGAAUAACCACCGGAAACGGUAGCUAAUUCCGCAUAUUGUCUGUUUAUCGCAUGAUUUACAGAUGAAAGCCUUCGGGUGCUUGAAGAUGGGCCUGCGUCGGAUUAGGUAGUUGGUAGGGUAAUGGCUUACCAAGCCUACGAUCCGUAGCUGGUCUGAGAGGAUGAUCAGCCACACUGGCACUGAGACACGGGCCAGACUCCUACGGGAGGCAGCAGUGAGGAAUAUUGCGCAAUGGGGGAAACCCUGACGCAGCCACGCCGCGUGGAGGAUGACACCCCUAUGGGGCGUAAACUCCUUUUAUAUGAGAAGAAAACCCGAUUCUGUCGGGCCUGACGGUAUCAUAUGAAUAAGCACCGGCUAACUCCGUGCCAGCAGCCGCGGUAAUACGGAGGGUGCAAGCGUUGUCCGGAAUCACUGGGUGUAAAGGGUGUGUAGGCGGGACAGCAAGUCAGAGGUGAAAUCCUACGGCUCAACCGUAGAACUGCCUUUGAGACUGCUGUUCUUGAGUCUCGGAGAGGUUACCAGAGUUCGUGGUGUAGCGGUGAAAUGCGUAGAUAUCACGAGGAAUACCCGUGGCGUAGGCAGGUAACUGGACGAGUACUGACGCUGAGGCACGAAAGCGUGGGGAGCAAACAGGAUUAGAUACCCUGGUAGUCCACGCUGUAAACGAUGGAUGCUCGGUGUCGCCCUAAUUGUUGGGCGGUGCCCAAGCUAACGCGUUAAGCAUCCCACCUGGGGAGUACGCUCGCAAGAGUGAAACUCAAAGGAAUUGACGGGGGCCCGCACAAGCGGUGGAGCAUGUGGCUUAAUUCGAUGCAACGCGAAGAACCUUACCUAGGCUCGAACACUACCGGACAGACCCUGAAAGGGGUUUUCCUUCGGGCUGGUAGUGAGGUGCUGCAUGGCUGUCGUCAGCUCGUGUCGUGAGAUGCUGGGUUAAGUCCCGCAACGAGCGCAACCCCCAUUGCUAGUUACCAGCGGAUAAUGCCGGGGACUCUAGUGAGACUGCCUGCGCAAGCAGUGAGGAAGGUGGGGACGACGUCAAGUCAUCAUGGCCCUUAUGCCUAGGGCUGCACACGUGCUACAAUGGACAGUACAAUGGGCUGCUACCUCGCGAGAGGAUGCGAAUCCAUAAAGCUGUUCUCAGUUCGGAUCGUAGUCUGCAACUCGACUACGUGAAGCCGGAAUCGCUAGUAAUCGCGUAUCAGCAACGACGCGGUGAAUACGUUCCCGGGCCUUGUACACACCGCCCGUCAAGCCAUGGAAGCCGGGGGUACCCGAAGUCCGUGACCCAACCUUAGGGAGGGAGCGGCCGAAGGUAAAACCGGUGACUGGGGCUAAGUCGUAACAAGGUA
rnacentral:rRNA from 1 species